rnacentral:tRNA from 1 species
GCUGAUAUAGCUCAGGCGGUAGAGCGCAUCCUUGGUAAGGAUGAGGUCGGCAGUUCGACUCUGCCUAUCAGCACCA